GAUGAACGCUGGCGGCGUGCCUAAUACAUGCAAGUCGAGCGAACAGACGAGGAGCUUGCUCCUCUGACGUUAGCGGCGGACGGGUGAGUAACACGUGGAUAACCUACCUAUAAGACUGGGAUAACUUCGGGAAACCGGAGCUAAUACCGGAUAAUAUAUUGAACCGCAUGGUUCAAUAGUGAAAGACGGUUUUGCUGUCACUUAUAGAUGGAUCCGCGCCGCAUUAGCUAGUUGGUAAGGUAACGGCUUACCAAGGCGACGAUGCGUAGCCGACCUGAGAGGGUGAUAGGCCACACUGGAGCUGAGACACGGUCCAGACUCCUACGGGAGGCAGCAGUAGGGAAUCGGCCGCAACGGGCGAAAGCCUGACGGAGCAACGCCGCGUGAGUGAUGAAGGUCUUCGGAUCGUAAAACUCUGUUAUUAGGGAAGAACAAAUGUGUAAGUAACUAUGCACGUAUUGACGGUACCUAAUCAGAAAGCCACGGCUAACUACGUG
rnacentral:rRNA from 1 species